AUGGAGAGUCGUUGGCUGGAUUUUCUGACCGACUAUCUCGAGAAGAAGAAGCCUUAGCCAUGAAAAAGAAAAACUAAAGAGAACCAAAAAAGAGAUGGACCCAAGAAGGAAGGACAAAAAUACUUAACUUGAAAGCUAAAAACAAAAAGGUGGAGAAGGAACCUUGAAAUCUUUUGGUGCUGGGGCGAUCUUCCGGCAAAGUUUCUGCAGCAGAGGAUGAAGAUAAAAUGCAAAGUAAAAAUUUGGCCGAAAGUGAUCCUGUAUAUAUAAGAACCCUUAAUGGUCAGGAUGGAAGUGGUCAAAUCAGAGUCUCAUCAAAUGACAACAUGUGGCAACAUUCAGACUAACCAUUGGUUGGACGGUUCGAUGCACCUCCUUCUGAUCGUGCUAUCUCAUCAUCAUCCA
rnacentral:lncRNA from 1 species